rnacentral:lncRNA from 1 species
UUCCUAGCGAAGCAGAGCUCUGCACACUUGAGUUCCGGUCCGGUUUCCCGCGGAGUUCCCCGCUUGGCGCUUGCUUGCGCGUCUUGGAGUACUGGUCGGGUUUCACCCCCAUCACUUGGCGCCGUCUGUGACUCAAAGAUACUCACGACAAAAGCUCCUCGACUUUUUCGAAAAAAGUGAUCGACUUUUUUCCAAGUCGCCAGCUAGGGAGUCUUGCGAGGAAAUCAGCCAGCAAGGGAUCGACAUUUCAGAAGAUCGACUUUUUCUUCCAAGGAAAAAAAAGUCGAUCCCUCAAGGAGCUAGGCUUUCAGGCAUCGACUUCCAAGGAAUCCUCCAAGUGCACUAGGGAUCGACUUUUUGAAGAUC